CAUGAUGCUACGAGGGAUUGCGCCUCCCACUCAACCACAAAGUAAUCCGGGGCCAUUGUAGCCGCCAUGGGUCGAAUACAAUGCAGCUUAUGGUAAGGAGCGGCGGCGCAGGUGGAGGCCACGGCAGGAGGUGGAAAUCACGACUGAGCCUGCAGCACAAAGGGUAGUUGGCUGUAAUUAGUUGGUUGGUGGUUAGGACG
rnacentral:lncRNA from 1 species